GUGUCUGUAGCCUAGUGGUCAAUGGCAGCACUCUAGUAAUGUUGAGGUCAUGGGUUUGAGUCCCACCAGACACA
rnacentral:tRNA from 1 species